GUUUGAGUGAGAGGAAAAAGGAGAUCCUCGCAUGUACACAGCGAAACUGGAGGAAGAGCUAUUUAUUCUUUCUCAUUCUCAUCACGUUUUGCAGCCGAGUUUAUGGUCGUCUCCCAAUUUGCUAUAGCUGUGAUAAAUUGAAAAUUUUUGACUCAUCAACCUUCCUCCAUUGCCCUUAAACUGAAAUAAUGUCAUCUUCACCGCCGCCGUCGACAACCCGCCGCCACCUCCUGGUUUUUCCUUUCCCAGCUCAAGGCCAUAUGCUUCCACUCCUCGAUCUCACCCAUCAUUUAGCCUCUCAUGGCGGCUUCACCAUCACCAUCUUAGUCACCCCCAGAAACCUCCCG
rnacentral:misc_RNA from 1 species